rnacentral:rRNA from 1 species
UACGUGGGGGGCAAGCGUUGUCCGGAAUUAUUGGGCGUAAAGAGCGUGUAGGCGGCCAGAUAGGUCUGCUGUGAAAACUCGAGGCUCAACCUCGAGAUGUCGGCGGAAACCAUUUGGCUAGAGUCCGGAAGAGGAAAGUGGAAUUCCUGGUGUAGCGGUGAAAUGCGCAGAUAUCAGGAAGAACACCCGUGGCGAAGGCGGCUUUCUGGGACGGUACUGACGCUGAGACGCGAAAGCGUGGGGAGCGAACAGG